CCGAAAAUCAAUUUUUCCACUUUUUCCUUCGUUUUUCUCUCUCCUGGCUUUUUCUCUCUCUUCAAAAUAUCUCAUUUCUAUAUAUAUCCAGACUGAUCGUCCAGGACGAUCGCACUUCGUCUCGGGACGAUCUGGCUCUGGACAAGUGUCGUCCAAACGAGAUUUAAUUAUCGUCCCCGGCGACCGGUCCUCUUGAAAAUUUUCGUCCAGAAGAUCCAAAUUUCGUCCAGACGAUCCAUGCAGCCAGAACUGUUUUCCUUGAACAACCUAUACCGAUCGUCCCGGACGAUCCAAUUUCGUCCGGACGAACCUGGAGCAAAAACUGAUGUUACACAACCUUUCCCUCGUCGCUACUUGAGCGCUUUAGGUAGGUGUUAAAUGACACCGUGGUUGCAUUUUUUUUUAUCCCCACCGGCUAUAUGAGCUUUUAAGGAUUUUUCUUUUUGGUACUUAUUUAAAAGAGCACAGUUUCUUUCCCCCAUCUGCCUACGUGAGCAUUUGGAGGUACUUAGUUUUCGUCCCCCUCAUGCUACAUGAGCACUCCGGGGAUUACCCACCUCGUUGUGCCGGUUUCCCUCCCAACUAUUGCCACGUGAGUGCGUAGGGGGUUUGCUGGCUCGUCGCAAGCCACGAGAGAAGGAUUUUUUUUUUAAGUUAGGAGUUAUACCUUUGCGUGUCGACGGUGGGGUGACGGCGAUAGAAGGCACAAAAUCAUAUCUUUCUUUUUUUUUGCUUCUUUUUUUUUUUUUUUGAAAACCCCACUUCUUUUGUACAUAUGUAUGCAUCUAUAAUGAUACAAGCUUCUGAUAGCGCUAAGCAAAAGGAAUAGCCAUAACAGUUAUCACAUUUAACUAGUGACAAUAGCCAUAGUUAAUAAUGAGUGAUAACAACACUAAACAAUGAAAAUAAAUACUAUCAUGAUUCUCUGAAGAAACUAUACGGAUUGAAUGUUUUGGGCUUACAAAGUGAGGUGGAAUUGGGCUUGCUGUUAGCAAUGGAAAAGAGAAUAUGAUGGGAUUUGGUAUGCUGUAGGAAGUGGUUGGGAUUGUUUAUAUAUUUAGUGGAAUAUGCUAAGUGGCUGUGGGGAAGAGAAUGAAUUGGUGAUGUGAAUCAAACAGGCUUUUGUGGGCUAGAUUGCAAGUGAAGGCACGGACUUGGUGUAAAAGCUACAGGUGAAUAAUAAAAGAAAGCAUUUGAGUGUGGAUGAAUCAGUGAAAAGUGAUUUCAUGUGGAAGGGAAUCGGAGCAAAAGCUGUCUAAUUUGCUAGGCUGGCUCUUGAAGCAGUUUUGGGCUGAAAUUCGAAGGCGAAAUGAGUUGCUGUUUGGGCAUACGUUUGAUUUAAAAUAGUGGGCUGAAGUGGUUUUGACACAUUGCUGCAUUUAUUUUACUUGGCUUUGGUUUACACCUCAGAUUAAAUAGACUUUAAAAGCUCACUGUUAGCUUGCCAAAAUGACAUUGAAGGCUUUAUCUGCUCUGUUAAACAAGUCUUGACUCAUCUCUAGAAAGCAUUAAAAAAAAAAAAUGAUUUUUUGUUUUUGUUUGAAGACUGAUCAUGCUUGCUGUCAAAAGACUUUCUUAAAUGGGUGUCAGGGAUUCCAUUCUUUCCUUUUUUUUUACCUUAAAGUAAGGAAGCAAUGGGGAGGCUGCAGUUGUUGUGAGCUGAUUGUCCAAAAUAGGUUUCAGAGGUAAGAGAGAAGGAGAUUGUUGUUAGAAUUUAGCUGAGUGUAAUGACAGGGAAUAGGCUGUUGUAGGCUCCUUCACGUGGAGAGUGAUCAAGGAGCAGCUUUCACUUGAGAUGGGAACUGCUGUAGUUGAGAACAAAAAGGGGUUUCUGUAGUAGGGUGAGAGGAAGGAACAAGAAGAGGCUGUAGGGAGGAAAGGUGUGAAGUGUAGUGAUGGAUUGGAGGGGAUGAGUUAUUUUGCUUGGUGGCUGUAAGGAGAGGAAGGGAGCUGGUUUCCUUGUGUAAAGCAGAGGAGUUUCACGGCCAAGUGGGGGGAAUCAGCCUGCUGAUGUUGAGAAGUUGGGCUGCUGUUGCAGCUUCACGUGAGGGAGGGAGGAAGAAAGAGCAUGAAUCAAGUUCCUGCACAGUUGGGGGAGUUGAGAGUUACAGAUUGUAGUGGAGAACAAUUGUUCAAAUGGAGGGGGCUGAGUAUAUAAUAGGUUAUUCAGCUCUUUAUUUUUUUAUUUCUCCACUGGCUGAUAUGACUUGGGCAACUGAUAGUUGACAGGAUAUGAUUUGUGCAGGAUUUAACAGAGAUAUGGGAUGGGCAGCCGGUUUUGAGCAGGAAAGAAGAAAGCGAUAGUACUAUUGGAUGAGGAAGAUGGAUGGAAUGACUGACAUAGGAGUGAUGGAGAAGAUUAUAGAGCUAUCAUAUAUCACGUACAACAAUUCUUUAGACGGCCCUGCACUCCUGCUUGUGAUAAUGAAAAUGAUGACGUUGAUUUGGGGGGGCAUAAAAGACUCUUUUAGAGUCUAAUUCUAUCACAUGUUUCUAAUAUUUUAUGUUUUUUCGAACUCAUAACUUAUAUUCAAUUUUUUAAAGUUUGUAUGCUUUCUUUUAAUGUGUCUUCUAUGGAUUAAGGUUAUGUUUUUUGCUGUCCUAA